GUGGGUUAUGGUGACAUGCACCCAGUCACUAUUGGGGGCAAAAUAGUAGGGUCUCUCUGUGCCAUAGCUGGGGUGCUGACCAUUGCCUUGCCUGUGCCCGUGAUAGUCUCCAAC